ACAAUUGUCCAUUUAGACUUGAUUUGUCCUGAUUUAAAAAUCAAUGUAUCUGAUCUCAGAAGCUAAGCAGGGUUGGGCCUGGUUAAUAUUCGGAUGGGAGACCACGUAGGAAUACCAGGUGCUGUAGGCU
rnacentral:rRNA from 1 species